AUUGAACGCUGGCGGCAUGCUUUACACAUGCAAGUCGAACGGGGUGAGGGGGCAACCUCUCAUUCAGUGGCGAACGGGUGAGUAAUGCAUCGGAACGUGUCCCGUAGUGGGGGAUAACCCAGCGAAAGCUGGGCUAAUACCGCAUAUGCUCUGAGGAGGAAAGUGGGGGAUCUGAGAGGACCUCACGCUAUGGGAGCGGCCGAUGUCCGAUUAGCUAGNGGUGGGUAAUGGCCUACCAAGGCGACGAUCGGUAGCUGGUCUGAGAGGAUGAUCAGCCACACUGGGACUGAGACACGGCCCAGACUCCUACGGGAGGCAGCAGUGGGGAAUUUUGGACAA
rnacentral:rRNA from 1 species